CGUAUUAUCAUUAGAAGCGAUUUAUCCGUCACAUGGUAAUUCGUUUGAACGUUUUAAGAUAUAUUAUUUUAAAUUAAACUUACAAUUUACAGAUCCCGUAUGAUUUUAAUUUUAAUCAAACAUAUUAGAAACAGUCUACAACAUAUUUUAAAAUGCCAACCUCUUGUUGUGUACGUGGUUGCAAGAGUAAGGGCAAUGGUAAAAUCAAGUAUUUCAGAUUUCCUAGGGACGAAAACCGUAGAUUACAGUGGAUACAAGCACUUGACCGAGAGAACUUUGUACCCACGAAUAAUACUUUAAUUUGUGAAGCACAUUUUACUACUAAUGACUAUCAAAAAAGACCUGAUCUCAUUAAGUUAACACAUACUGCUGUUCCAAGUAUUUUCAAAGGUCGGGUAAAUGAAAAACAGAAUGCUUCUCUGAAAAAAGUAAUGGAUCCGGGAUUAAAAUCCUCUCGAAUGCCAGCAAGAAAACGUCAUAGUAAUUUAUCAGACCACACUUAUGUGUUGAAACUUCCUGAAGAGAUUAUACCUGAGGUGACUGAGGAUAUAGGUUUCCAAAAAUCAAUUAGUCCAUCAAAAUGUGUAGUCCACACAAUAGAUGCUGGUGAAUCACGUGUGUUAGAUGUAUCCCAAUCAAAUAUACAAACAUCAAGAAAUAUUGAAAAUCCAGUCUUUAAAAUACCUGAAAGUUUCAAAAACACUUUUCAACCUCCAGAAAAAAAUUGGGAACACGUUGCAAUAAUACAACAAAAAACAAUACAUGAUUUAAGAAAAAAAGUAAAAGUUCUUCAUCAAAAAAUUAGACGGUAUUCCUCAACAAUUGAAACAUUAAAGGAACAAUUGGAUAUAAUGAUUCGUUACUAAUAUCAAAUACCUUCAAUAAAUAAUAAAUAUCAAUAAGAAUAUUGAAGGAUUUCAAUUGAAAAGUAAUAUUUAUUACAUUUGUAUUAUAAAAAAUUAAGUCAUACCUAUACUAUGCCACUUAUAGAAUAUACACCAAACAUUCUGCUGAUAUAAAAUUGUGCUUUACCAAAAAUGAUAAUCUUCUUGAAUUUUAAUAUGAAAACCUAAAGAUGGAAUUGAUUGAAUGGUGGCAUAUAGGCAGUAACUUGUGUCUGAUUUUUCACUUCAAUAAACCAUGAAUUCCAUUUUUGUACUGGACAAUGUAUAAAUUCUAUACGUUGAUGAUAGCGUUUCCUAUAUUGGAUGAAUGAAAGAAAGCAUAAAUAAUGUUUACAUUUUUGUAAUGCAUAUGGAUAAUUGAAAAUUGAUUAAUGGUUCUUUGUAAUCUGUUUUAUGCCAUGGUGAACUCCAAAAUUAGAGGGUUGUAAAACUUUUUGGUCACACUGUUAUACAUUAUUAAGUAUAUUGAUUGAGUAUGUUAAUUGUUAAUGCUAACAUAUUUUAUAGAAUUAUUAUAAAUUAUUAUUAAUUUAAAUGUUAAUACCUAUCAAUCAGUCCCAUACAUAUUAAUUUAUCUUAUAUCAAGUUAGUUUUGUUUAUUCAACAAUAUCAUUUAUAAUUUUUUUUUCAUAUUGAAAUAUAGACUAUAAGUAUUGUAUAUAACAUGUAUUACCCAUAUAAUAGAAUAGUUUGAUCUUAUUAUUAAUU